rnacentral:rRNA from 1 species
UACGGGAGAGCAGCAGUGGGGAAUAUUGCACAAUGGGCGCAAGCCUGAUGCAGCCAUGCCGCGUGUAUGAAGAAGGCCUUCGGGUUGUAAAGUACUUUCAGUCGUGAGGAAGGUGUUAAGGUUAAUAACCUUAGCAAUUGACGUUAGCGACAGAAGAAGCACCGGCUAACUCCGUGCCAGCAGCCGCGGUAAUACGGAGGGUGCGAGCGUUAAUCGGAAUUACUGGGCGUAAAGGGCACGCAGGCGGUUAAUUAAGUUGGAUGUGAAAUCCCCGGGCUUAACCUGGGAAUGGCAUUCAAGACUGGUUAGCUAGAGUCUUGUAGAGGGGGUAGAAUUCCAUGUGUAGCGGUGAAAUGCGUAGAGAUGUGGAGGAAUACCGGGUGGCGAAGGCGGCCCCUGGGACAAAGGACUGACGCUCGAUGUGCGAAAGCGUGGGGAGCAAACGAGGAUUAGAUACC